rnacentral:piRNA from 1 species
UGGAUCUGAUGGAGAGGAAGUUUGCACCCC